AAUUAUGCCAUUCGAGAGGAAAAUGAAAGACAGUUUGUACCAAAUCGACUUAAUUGCGAUUACAAGACGAUUUUCUAAUUACAAUUUUAAGGAGAUUUUGUUAAGGAACGUGUGAUUUUUGAAAACUUAAAAUUUUUCAUGAAAAAUAACAAAAAUAUUUUGAGUGUAGUGCCUGAAAACUAGACUUGUUUCGGAGCAAAAAAAUUCGCUCAAAGGACACACAUAACUGAAGAAAGUACAAUUUUUGCAGAGAAAAAAAAAGAAAAAAAAAACAAUUAGUAAAAGAGCUACAAAACCAACAACAACACCAUAAAAAAAAAGAUUAACAUUAAAAAACUCAAGUUUUAAAUUUAAGAAAAAAUAUUUCAGGUUUACAUUUUAUGCUAUCGCGUAACCAUCGCAUACCAAAGUAUGUGCAAAUACAAUUAUACGUAAUGGUAUUACUCUAUUUGACCAUACAUAUAUAUAUAU